rnacentral:rRNA from 1 species
CGGGUGAGUAACACGUGAGCAACCUGCCCCUGACUCUGGGAUAAGCGCUGGAAACGGCGUCUAAUACUGGAUACGAACAGCGACCGCAUGGUCAGUUGUUGGAAAGAUUUAUUGGUUGGGGAUGGGCUCGCGGCCUAUCAGCUUGUUGGUGAGGUAAUGGCUCACCAAGGCGUCGACGGGUAGCCGGCCUGAGAGGGUGACCGGCCACACUGGGACUGAGACACGGCCCAGACUCCUACGGGAGGCAGCAGUGGGGAAUAUUGCACAAUGGGCGCAAGCCUGAUGCAGCAACGCCGCGUGAGGGAUGACGGCCUUCGGGUUGUAAACCUCUUUUAGCAGGGAAGAAGCGAAAGUGACGGUACCUGCAGAAAAAGCACCGGCUAACUACGUGCCAGCAGCCGCGGUAAUACGUAGGGUGCAAGCGUUAUCCGGAAUUAUUGGGCGUAAAGAGCUCGUAGGCGGUUUGUCGCGUCUGCUGUGAAAUCUGGGGGCUCAACCCCCAGCCUGCAGUGGGUACGGGCAGACUAGAGUGCGGUAGGGGAGAUUGGAAUUCCUGGUGUAGCGGUGGAAUGCGCAGAUAUCAGGAGGAACACCGAUGGCGAAGGCAGAUCUCUGGGCCGUUACUGACGCUGAGGAGCGAAAGGGUGGGGAGCAAACAGGCUUAGAUACCCUGGUAGUCCACCCCGUAAACGUUGGGAACUAGUUGUGGGGUCCAUUCCACGGAUUCCGUGACGCAGCUAACGCAUUAAGUUCCCCGCCUGGGGAGUACGGCCGCAAGGCUAAAACUCAAAGGAAUUGACGGGGACCCGCACAAGCGGCGGAGCAUGCGGAUUAAUUCGAUGCAACGCGAAGAACCUUACCAAGGCUUGACAUAUACGAGAACGGGCCAGAAAUGGUCAACUCUUUGGACACUCGUAAACAGGUGGUGCAUGGUUGUCGUCAGCUCGUGUCGUGAGAUGU